UCUAGUACAGACCACCGUGUAUCGCACCCUCCUGUAAUGGGGCGGGGGUUAUGGCUUCUUGCUCCGAACCCUUUGCCUUUUAUUUGUCGGGGUGCGGGCGGAAAUGAAAGUCAACUGAGAAUCCGAGGCCUGAAGCCUGGGAGACGAGUGUCAAGUCUCUGACUGAUUCUCUCAGUACAGGCCGGGCACGGAGCGGUGAAGCCUGGCCUGCAGCUGGGGAAGAUAACGGUCGCUCGGCAGCGGCUCGUGAAAGCCGCUCGUGGCUGUUGGUGGAGGGGGCGGACGGGGGAGGGGAACGGAACAGAAGGCGAGCUGUCUCCUCCUACCCCCCGGGCCGAGGGUAGAUGGGACAUUUCUUGGACGUUGAUGUCAGAGCUCCAGUGGCGCAAUCGGUUAGCGCGCGGUACUUAUAUGACAGUACAGAGUGAGCCAUGCCGAGGUUGUGAGUUCGAGCCUCACCUGGAGCACAUGUUUUACAGGCAACCAGAAAGAGAAAUAAAAA